rnacentral:lncRNA from 1 species
CUCAUUCCUCUCUAAUUCUCAUCUCUUUCUCCCUUUCUUUCUCUCUCAACCCUAGAGACAAGUUGGUGGAGGAGAAGUUGGAGAAGUUGGCAGCUUGGAGUCUGGGGCUUGUUGGAGCUGCCGAAGUAGGAAACCCAGCCAAGGGAGCUUCAAAUCCAGGUCAGCUUGAUGUUUAUUCCUGGUUUGAGUGAGUUUUGUUGCUUUAAAGAGAGUAGAAGCAAUAGAAUUUCAGUUUUCUAAAAUUAUAGGGAGAACUUGGUGGAGUAGGCCCUUGGAGUGCAGAUUUUGGGUAUUUGAGCUGAAGGAAAGUCUUUAGAGUAGGGUUUUUUGCUGUUGGAGCAUCGAAUUAAGGUAAGCUUGAUCAGGUUAUGAUUAGAGUUUAGUUAUUUACAUUAGAAAGAUAUAAAUUUUGAGUAGUAUGCUGGUUUAGGGUGUAGAAACCUGAAAAACUGCAUUAUGAACCUAUAUUGUUAUGGAAGUAAGUUACAUAUCAUUUAUGUAUAUGUAAAGAUGCAAUUAGAUAUGGAAUUAGUGGAAAAUCAUGCUUGUUCCUGGUUUAGAGAUUGCAUAUUUAGGUUCUAAAGAGGACUGAACUGCAGGUUUUGAUGUUAGAGCUCUUGAAACCAUAGAAAGCUUAGAGAAGUAUAUACUGGCAGCAUAUAUGUAAGUAUGUACAUGCCUAUAUUUGUGAAUUAUUUGUUAGAGUUGGUUAUUAAAGAGGGAAAUGGAUGAAAUUUUCUAUUGUCCCUAGUUUGAAUGCUAUCCCUCACUGUGAAGAAAGAGUGGAACAAGAGUUUCUUAAGUGCUAAGACCAUAAGUGCCUUGCACCCUAUAGAAAUUAGCACUAUGCUAUAUGCUAUAUAUAUAUAUGCAAGUAUGUAUAUAUAUAUACAUUAUGAGUAGUUGUUGGGGAUAAGAUUUGAGAUGGAAUAACAUUAAUAUCUACUUGAGAAUGACAUUCUUGCUAUGUAGAGAAGUUAAAUGAUGGAUCCAUUAGCUUCUAAAGGUUGAAGUAGUCAUGGAUAAACCUAUAAAAGCUAUAGAUGGACCUAUAAAAACUAUAGGUUGUAUAGUUGACUUGUAAGCUAUGGCUUGGAUUAAAAUGGAAUUGUGGCAGGGAAUAUGACCUUAUAAUGAUUAGGAAUGAUGUUUACUACCCUAUUGAAGGUUAGUUAUAAGCUAGUCUAGUUUCCUAAACCCUAAACUGCCUAGGGAAUUUCAUAGAAAGCUAAAUGUAUGUAUGUAUUAGCAUCAUGUAUACAAGAAUUGAGGGCAAUGCAAAGUUUGUAAAGAUGCACAUAUAACUUAAGUUUAAUACCUUUAUUCCUCUAGGAAGGAAAGUUUGACAUGCUCGGAAGCUUGGGUUGAUAUUCCGACGGACCUACGACGCGCAAAUUAAGAAACGCUUCGUUCUAGCUGUUUUGGCAUCGAGCCGCGGGGGUUUGGUGUUUACACGUUUCGAGACGUUGGGUUUAGCUUUUCGGCAUCCCUACAAGGUGGGUGGUGCUAUCCGAAAUCUUCGAAUCUCUCUUUAUGUCUAUGUCACCUUAUUGAGCAUAUUUAUAUAUGAGUUGUAGUUGAUAUUCAUGCAUUAUAGGGUUGAGCUGGAUAUGUGGUUAAUUAUGACUAGUAAACAUAGAACCCUAUAGAUGUAUGAACUUGUAUUGGACUAUUAAAUAGUGACAAAGUGACAUUGUGAAUAGAUUGCAUGAGUGGCACCCAGUGUUGUGAAUGUUAAACAAAGUCAAUGAGCUUGUAAGAUGUGUGGCAUUAGAACUAGAUGAAUUGAUUAACAUCUAGAUUUGGACAUGUAAAUCUAGCAUAAAGAGCUAGUUAAAGUGUGGCAGUGUCAGUAUAUCCUCUCAGUGAGGAUUGGAACAUACUCACAUAGUUUGUUUUGAGCUUGGCGGUGGUCGGUCCACCCAAGCAGUGCAGUCCGGAGUUGUCACAUGAUGGGCUAACGUACUUGCCCAAUGACUAACGUACUUGUCCAGCAGACGGUCCCUCGGGUGGUUCGAGUCCCCCGAUUUAGAGGGACUUGGUUGGUGAAUUAUAGUUAACCAAAUGGUUAACCAGUUUGAUUCGGUAAAGAUUAUUAAUAGCAUGCAUGCAUAUUUAUCAGUUGUUCUAUAUUAUUCAUUUCAGCUUUGUACAGGCAUUGUAGUAGUUACAUGUUUUAGUUGGUUACUAUUUGUUUUCUUUUCUUGCCUACAUAUACCUGAAUAGACUUAGUGGGUGAGUCGGCGGGGUCGGCGGCCGAACCCACUGGAAACUUUUAGUAGUUCUCACACCACUCACCAUACAGGUCCUAGCGCGAGCAGUGUGGCCGAGGAUCACGGCAAAGGCCCAGCAUCUUAGCUAGUGGACUCCCGAGUAUAGAUAUAUAUCCAUUUUGGUUUUAUGAUGUACCUAAUUGAUAGAGAGAAAACUUGUAAAUGAUGUAUAAAUGAGCAUGUAAAUGAUGUAAAUAACUGAAGUUAUAGUUAUCUGCUUGAUUGGUUUUGGUUUAAAGUUUAGCAUGAAAAUAUAAUAAAUGCAUGUUUAGUUAGUUUAUUUUCACCUGUUAUUGUUGAUUGCCCUCGUGCAAGUCAUGUAUAUUGAAAUGCUAUCCUGGAAAUUAUUUAUUUCUUUAUACAUGUUCUCGUUGUUGUUGAGCCUUGGGCAGAUAGGGAAGGUGCUGUCCGUUCGGCGUCUGUGUACGGGCCUGGAUCGACCAAAUAGGCGAUAGCGGGACGUGA